AUGUGCAUGUGCCACAGGGCCUCCACACACACGACUGUUCCUCAGCCCCAGUGUCCCCUUUCUCUGGGCCCAGACCCUGCAGGUGGAGCUGACAUGGUUGAGAAGGGCUCCAUGCUCACCUCCUCACCUCCCUCACCUCCCUCACUUCCUCACCUCCCUCACCCUCCUCACCUCCUCACUUCCCUCACCUCCCUCACCACCCUCACCUCCUCACCUCCUCACCUCCCUCACCACCCUCACCUCCUCACCUCCCACACCUCCAUCACAUCCUCACCUCACCUACCUCACCUCCCUCACCACCUCACCUCCCUCACCUCCUCACCUCCCACACCUCCCUCACCUCCUCACCUCCCUCACCUCCGUCACAUCCUCACCUCACCUACCUCACCUCCCUCACCACCUCACCUCCCUCCCCUCCUCACCUCCCACACCUCCCUCACCUCCUCACCUCCCUCACCUCCGUCACAUCCUCACUUCCUCACCUCCCUCACAUCCCUCACCUCCCUCACCUCCUCACCUCCCUCACCUCCCUCACCUCCUCACCUCCCUCACCUCCUCACCUCCCUUGCCUCCUCACCUCCCUCACCUCCAUCACCUCCUCACCUCCCUCACCUCCAUCAUCUCCUCACCUCCUCACCUUCCUCACCUCCUCACCUCCCUCACCUCCCUCACCUCAACUCCUCACCUCCCUCACCUCCUCAUCUCCUUCACCUCCCUCCCCUCCCUCACCUCAUCUCCCUCACCUCCCUCACCUCCUCACCUCCCUCACCCCCUCACCUCCUUCACCUCCCUCCCCUCCCUCACCUCACCUCCCUCACCUCCUCACCUCCCUCACCUCCCUCACCUCCCUCUCCUCACCUCCCUCACCUCCCUCACCUCCCUCACCUUCCUCUCCUCACCUCCCUCACCUCAUCACUUCCUCACCUUCUCCCCUCCUUUCUCCUCCCUCCACCUCACCUCAUCACCUGCAUACCUCCUCACCUCCACUCCUCUUCUCCUCACCUCCUCACCUCCCCUCCUCUUCUCCUCACCUCCUCACCUCCCCAUCUCCUCACCUCUUCCUCUCCUCAUCUUGGUUCUGGGAGACACCCGGUGGCCCUCACUCCCCACCUCCUGCUUUCCUUUCGUCCACUCUUCUUCCCUACAGGCCAGGAUGGAACCUUUGCUGAGCUGGGUUUUGGAGGUGAAUCAUCACUAUUCUCAUCGUGGCUUGUAUGGGGUGUGUGGGGUCAGAUUUGA
rnacentral:lncRNA from 1 species